rnacentral:rRNA from 1 species
AGUGAACGCUGGCGGCGUGCCUAACACAUGCAAGUCGAACGAUGAAGUCCUUCGGGAUGGAUUAGUGGCGCACGGGUGAGUAUACCAUAGAUAAUGUACCUCUUAGUUUGGGAUAGCCACUGGAAACGGUGAUUAAUACCAGAUACUCCUUCUUGUCUUAAGGCAAGUCGGGAAAGUUUUUUCGCUAAGAGAUCAGUCUAUGUCCUAUCAGCUAGUUGGUGAGGUAAUGGCUCACCAAGGCUAUGACGGGUAUCUGGUUUGAGAGGAUGAUCAGACACACUGGAACUGAGACACGGUCCAGACUCCUACGGGAGGCAGCAGUGAGGAAUAUUGCACAAUGGAGGAAACUCUGAUGCAGCAACGCCGCGUGGAGGAUGACGCAUUUCGGUGUGUAAACUCCUUUUAAGAGGGAAGAUUAUGACGGUACCUCUUGAAUAAGCACCGGCUAACUCCGUGCCAGCCGCCGCGGUAA